rnacentral:rRNA from 1 species
UACAGGGGGGGCAAGCGUUGUUCGGAAUUACUGGGCGUAAAGGGUCUGUAGGUGGCCAACUAAGUCAGACGUGAAAUCCCUCAGCUUAACUGGGGAACUGCGUCUGAUACUGGAUGGCUUGAGUGUGGGAGAGGAAUGCGGAAUUCCAGGUGUAGCGGUGAAAUGCGUAGAUAUCUGGAGGAACACCGGUGGCGAAGGCGGGUCUCUGGGCAACAACUGACGCUGAGGAGCGAAAGCGUGGGGAGCGAACAGG